rnacentral:lncRNA from 1 species
UCCGGUACAUCGGUCGUGCUAUCUUCCUCGCAUAUUGGUCCUAAUCCAAUACUUCCAGCACUCCUAGGGCCAAAUAUCUGUCUCAACUCAAGUUUGUUUCCAUGAUAAAUUUAUUUAAAGUUUGAAUAAAAAGUUGUAAUUUGAAUGAAAGGUAGGUAUUCAACAUAAAUAGAUGUAAUUCAUAUUUUUUGAAAAUAAAGCAUAUUAAAUAGGGGCAUAUUAGAAAACUAAAAAAUCAGCCAUAAUCUCAGUAAGGAAAGUAGCCUAUAAUUUGAGACAUGCAAAAAAGGAAAGUAAGCCUAUUUUUAUUGACUUCAAAACUUGUUCGGAAACUACAAAUAUUGACUUCAAAACUUGCGUUUUUACUGCAGCAAAAUCAAACUAUAUAUUCUCUAUGAUUAGCUGCUACAAAAGCCUGUGAGGAGGAUAACACGCUUUUUGUUUCUGCUACUAGUUGUGUGACUAUUAAUAAUAUGCAAUUUCUGAGAACUGCAACAAAUUCCUCCUGAAAAGAAACCUGCUUAGCAGAUUUAUUUGCAGCCAAGCCAGACACCCAAGAUUAAAUAUCUUAAGUUAUUCAUCAGGAGGCAUUUAUUGAAGACACAAGUUAUAUAGAACUGAUAGUCUAUUGCUUGCUUCAUUUGUUUAACUAUCUAUUUAACCCUCUUCAAGGGGAGACUAAAUUGCAUGUAUGCAAUGCAUAACAUGUUUCUUGUAAGCCUAGAUAUGUAAAAGCUCACGCGAGAUUAAAAAAUAACCUAAAAUGAAUUUUUGUGUUUAGUAGAUUACAAAUUGAGGCCCAGUCAAAAAAGAUUUUCAAAUCCAAGCUUUUGGAACCAAAAAAAGGAUCAGAUUUUCAAAUACAGGUCACAUUUCUCACAAUAUUAACUAUAUUUGGGAGAUCAUUAAAAUGUAG